rnacentral:rRNA from 1 species
UACGUAGGGACCAAGCGUUGUUCGGAUUUACUGGGCGUAAAGGGCGCGUAGGCGGCGUGGUAAGUCACUUGUGAAAUCUCCGAGCUUAACUCGGAACGGUCAAGUGAUACUGCUGUGCUAGAGUGCGGAAGGGGCAACUGGAAUUCUCGGUGUAGCGGUGAAAUGCGUAGAUAUCGAGAGGAACACCUGCGGCGAAGGCGGGUUGCUGGGCCGACACUGACGCUGAGGCGCGAAAGCUAGGGGAGCGAACGGG